rnacentral:rRNA from 1 species
GGACCGAACCGACUAAUGUUGAAAAAUUAGCGGAUGACCUGUGGCUGGGGGUGAAAGGCCAAUCAAACCGGGAGAUAGCUGGUUCUCCCCGAAAGCUAUUUAGGUAGCGCCUCGUGAAUUCAUCUCCGGGGGUAGAGCACUGUUUCGGCUAGGGGGCCAUCCCGGCUUACCAACCCGAUGCAAACUGCGAAUACCGGAGAAUGUUAUCACGGGAGACACACGGCGGGUGCUAACGUCCGUCGUGAAGAGGGAAACAACCCAGACCGCCAGCUAAGGUCCCAAAGUCAUGGUUAAGUGGGAAACGAUGUGGGAAGGCCCAGACAGCCAGGAUGUUGGCUUAGAAGCAGCCAUCAUUUAAAGAAAGCGUAAUAGCUCACUGGUCGAGUCGGCCUGCGCGGAAGAUGUAACGGGGCUAAACCAUGCACCGAAGCUGCGGCAGCGACACUGUGUGUUGUUGGGUAGGGGAGCGUUCUGUAAGCCUGUGAAGGUGUGUCGUGAGGCAUGCUGGAGGUAUCAGAAGUGCGAAUGCUGACAUAAGUAACGAUAAAGCGGGUGAAAAGCCCGCUCGCCGGAAGACCAAGGGUUCCUGUCCAACGUUAAUCGGGGCAGGGUGAGUCGACCCCUAAGGCGAGGCCGAAAGGCGUAGUCGAUGGGAAACGGGUUAAUAUUCCCGUACUUGGUGUUACUGCGAAGGGGGGACGGAGAAGGCUAUGUUGGCCGGGCGACGGUUGUCCCGGUUUAAGCGUGUAGGUGUGUGUUCCAGGUAAAUCCGGUUCACUUUAACACUGAGGCGUGACGACGAGGCACUACGGUGCUGAAGCAACAAAUGCCCUGCUUCCAGGAAAAGCCUCUAAGCAUCAGGUAACAUCAAAUCGUACCCCAAACCGACACAGGUGGUCAGGUAGAGAAUACCAAGGCGCUUGAGAGAACUCGGGUGAAGGAACUAGGCAAAAUGGUGCCGUAACUUCGGGAGAAGGCACGCUGACACGUAGGUGAAGUGAUUUACUCAUGGAGCUGAAGUCAGUCGAAGAUACCAGCUGGCUGCAACUGUUUAUUAAAAACACAGCACUGUGCAAACACGAAAGUGGACGUAUACGGUGUGACGCCUGCCCGGUGCCGGAAGGUUAAUUGAUGGGGUCAGCGCAAGCGAAGCUCCUGAUCGAAGCCCCGGUAAACGGCGGCCGUAACUAUAACGGUCCUAAGGUAGCGAAAUUCCUUGUCGGGUAAGUUCCGACCUGCACGAAUGGCGUAAUGAUGGCCAGGCUGUCUCCACCCGAGACUCAGUGAAAUUGAACUCGCUGUGAAGAUGCAGUGUACCCGCGGCAAGACGGAAAGACCCCGUGAACCUUUACUAUAGCUUGACACUGAACAUUGAGCCUUGAUGUGUAGGAUAGGUGGGAGGCUUUGAAGUGUGGACGCCAGUCUGCAUGGAGCCGACCUUGAAAUACCACCCUUUAAUGUUUGAUGUUCUAACGUGGACCCGUUACCCGGGUUGCGGACAGUGUCUGGUGGGUAGUUUGACUGGGGCGGUCUCCUCCUAAAGAGUAACGGAGGAGCACGAAGGUUGGCUAAUCCUGGUCGGACAUCAGGAGGUUAGUGCAAUGGCAUAAGCCAGCUUGACUGCGAGCGUGACGGCGCGAGCAGGUGCGAAAGCAGGUCAUAGUGAUCCGGUGGUUCUGAAUGGAAGGGCCAUCGCUCAACGGAUAAAAGGUACUCCGGGGAUAACAGGCUGAUACCGCCCAAGAGUUCAUAUCGACGGCGGUGUUUGGCACCUCGAUGUCGGCUCAUCACAUCCUGGGGCUGAAGUAGGUCCCAAGGGUAUGGCUGUUCGCCAUUUAAAGUGGUACGCGAGCUGGGUUUAGAACGUCGUGAGACAGUUCGGUCCCUAUCUGCCGUGGGCGCUGGAGAACUGAGGGGGGCUGCUCCUAGUACGAGAGGACCGGAGUGGACGCAUCACUGGUGUUCGGGUUGUCAUGCCAAUGGCACUGCCCGGUAGCUAAAUGCGGAAGAGAUAAGUGCUGAAAGCAUCUAAGCACGAAACUUGCCCCGAG